rnacentral:tRNA from 2 species
AUUUAUUUAGUAUAAAAAGUACACUUGAUUUCCAAUCAAAAAGACUAAUAAUUAGAAUAAAUA